AAUGGGGGAAACCCUGACGCAGCAACGCCGCGUGGGUGAUGAAGGCCUUCGGGUCGUAAAGCUCUGUCUGGAGGGAAGAAAUGAUUGGGAGCUAAUACCUCUUGAUCUUGACGGUACCUCUGAAGGAAGCACCGGCUAACUCCGUGCCAGCAGCCGCGGUAAUACGGAGGGUGCAAGCGUUGUUCGGAAUUAUUGGGCGUAAAGCGCGUGUAGGCGGUUUGCUCAGUCUGAUGUGAAAGCCCUGGGCUCAACCUGGGAAGUGCAUUGGAUACUGGCAGACUUGAGUACGGGAGAGGGUAGUGGAAUUCCCAGUGUAGGAGUGAAAUCCGUAGAUAUUGGGAGGAACACCGGUGGCGAAGGCGGCUGCCUGGACCGAUACUGACGCUGAGACGCGAAAGCGUGGGUAGCAAA
rnacentral:rRNA from 1 species